AUUGAACGCUGGCGGCAGGCCUAACACAUGCAAGUCGAACGAGUGGCGGACGGGUGAGUAAUGUCUGGGAAACUGCCCGAUGGAGGGGGAUAACUACUGGAAACGGUAGCUAAUACCGCAUACCAUCGGAUGUGCCCAGAUGGGCUUAGCGAGUAGGUGGGGUAACGGCUCACCUAGGCGACGAGCCCUAGCUGGUCUGAGAGGAUGACCAGCCACACUGGAACUGAGGCACGGUCCAGACUCCUACGUGAGGCAGCAGUGGGGAAUAUUGCACAAUGGGCGCAAGCCUGAUGCAGCCAGGCCGCGUGUAUGAAGAAGGCCUUCGGGUUGUAAAGUACUUUCAGCGGGGAGGCGUUACCCGCAGAAGAAGCACCGGCUAACUCCGUGCCAGCAGCCGCGGUAAUAC
rnacentral:rRNA from 1 species